UACGGGGGGGGCAAGCGUUGUUCGGAAUUACUGGGCGUAAAGGGCUCGUAGGCGGCCAACUAAGUCGGACGUGAAAUCCCUCAGCUUAACUGGGGAACUGCGUCCGAUACUGGAUGGCUUGGAUUUGGGAGAGGGAUGCGGAAUUCCAGGUGUAGCGGUGAAAUGCGUAGAUAUCUGGAGGAACACCGGUGGCGAAGGCGGCAUCCUGGACCAAUAUUGACGCUGAGGAGCGAAAGCCAGGGGAGCAAACAGG
rnacentral:rRNA from 1 species